GUCGCAGGCACCUGCGGCUGCGGCAGCUCCGCGUUCCUACCAGCUCGCUUCAGAGAAACCGAGUGGUUCGGAAAGGUUCUCUUAAGAAAAAGGAUUGGGAGCAAUGUCAAAAUGAAAUGUAUAUUCAUCCUCAAAUCAAAGAAGUGACAGACCUGUUAAGAACAGUAGUUUGUUAAAGGCAUUCAGAAACACCGAGUCUCCAGACAGCAUAUUCUGAAACUGGAUGUUAGGGAAAGCAAGGAGGUGAGUUCUUGGCAGAGAGGCUCGUGGAGGCGUGCAGGUGAAAGUGACAAACUUGCAUUUCCUCUGAGACCUCCCUACCCGGGUGGUCCGAAGACCAGCAAGAGUGGCAUUGCCUGGGAGUUGGUUGAAACUCACAGUCCCAGACCCACUAAUCAUGUCAGGGAUGGGCACGUGAAAGCUUGUGAGGCACUGCUCCAUGCUGAAUGACAGAGGUUCGGCUCCACUCAUUGUUAAGUAAUAGUAAGAAAAGUCUGUGGUCCAUCCAUGAUGUUGGCCGUUCUCCCCAGGAUCACUGCACACAGUUCAGAAGGGCAGGAGAUCUCCUCCAGCCCCAUCACAGAUUCUCUUGCACUAAUUAAAGAUUCAUUAAACUCGUAGGAUGUUCUAACUGCUUCCACAAAUGGAUGUUGAGAGGCUGCUUAGAUACUUGAGCAGGGAAAACAGCCCCAGCUUGCUCUGCUCCUCUCCUGUAGAAGGCCCCGUCUUCAGCAGAGCCCAGCGAACGCUGACGUGGAAAGAGAAGGAAGUUGUCCAAGUUGGCCCCGGCAAGCAGUGGUGGCAACUCACUGCCACACCCCAGUUCGGUUUCAUUCAGCAGUUGACGUACUCAAGGAAUUUCGACAUGGAGCCACUGAUGACCACACUGGUCACACUGCAGCCCUUAUCUAAAAGUCGAAUCUUUCUGUUUGAAACACUGCUAGCUUUACUCACAACUCAUUCUGAAAAUUAAUCUUCAGCAUGAUUUCUCAAGUAGCGUCUUCAUAUUUUUAUUCAGGAAAGGGGAGAAAAUUUAUCUCUCCUUCCUAAAAAUUUAACACACACAAAU